GCCGGUGGCUAGGGUUGUUAAGAGCCUGUCUGCCACCCCACAGUUCACACUUCAGCCAUCUCACCCUGGAGCUGCUCAGAGUCCUGCUAGCUUUUCCUUCCGGUUAGCAGACUCCCAUCCCAAAACCCUAAGAAAAGCCUCAAGCUGAGCUGCCACCCCAAGCAACCUCCUCCGGUUGUAGCACUAAAACUAGUAGCUAAAGCCUGGAACGGAGCGUAAAGGAGAGGGGUUUCCAUUCCCAGAGUGGCUUCGCAGACUGAAAAUGAUCUGCUUGGCUGGCCGCAGGACGGUUCCUGCGCGCCCAGCAAGGACAGAGAUUAAGAUUAAGGCCCCUCCUGCCUUAAAUAUGGGUGCCCUGAGAACUGGGAGGCGCCAUCUGCCCGAGCCAGGUCCCUCCCAGCUUCACCAAUUCAUCGUCAAGCCCUCGGUUUCACCAUUUCCUGGGAGCUGAGGUAUGGAAAGUCACGGCAUUUGGGAGUGCGUCUGAAUACAGACCGGAAUAAAGGCUACUUUUAAAGCGUGCUGGAGAGGUCGUGAUGCAGAGUGUUUGCUGAUAAUUACACAGCCAGACUCCUGAUGACAGUUGUCUGCAGCAGCUGUCUGCCAAGCCAGAGAGGAGGGGAAUGGGAACAGAGAAAGGCUGAUUUACAGGGACACUCAGAGCUUUGAAGGCUGACUCCUACCUUGGCCUUGCCGGUCAUGCCCAAGAAGAAGCUGAAGGUCCGUCGCAAGGAGGAGCCUGCCCCGGUCCCUGACUCCCCUUCCAGCUGGCUACCGCUGCAAAGAGACAGGGAAGAGCUGCUCUGUGGAUUCAGCUGCAGACGGGCAGCGCUGAGCUUGGCUGGGGGGCACCGGGUCCACUGGGCCGUCACCUACGAAGAACUUCUCUGGGCCCGAUCUGUUCAUGGAAGGUACACGGAGACGGCUCUGAAUCAAGAAGAAAGAGAAAGAGAAGAGUGAGCAGAGUUCUAGAACACUGGAGAAUGGUGCUACAGGACUGUAGUCUUCAAGAGGCUGAGGCAGAGGAAUGGCCCUGAGCUUGGGCCAGGCUAGGCUGAGCUGCAUGACCGUCUCCACUUCUCUGCUAACUUCUUGACUAGGCUGCUCACCACUGAUUCAAAACUAUAUGUUCGAGGAUGAGAACUUAAAGCAUAUAUGCACAUAUGCAUAUAGGCAUCAUACCACAUGUAUGUAGUUGCUGUGGAGGCCAGAAGAGAGCACAGGAUCCCAUGGAACUAGAAUUAUAGAUGGAUGCAAUCUACCAUGGAAGCACUAGAACCUGAACCCGGGUCCUCUGAAGACCAAACAAAAGGACCAGACACCAAAGAAGAGAAGACAAAUAGUCCAGAUGGUCCAGCCUCACAGACUGUUUCAGCCAGGACUUCAGUUAAGCCCUGCACUUUCCCAUCACACAGAAACUGGACAGCAAAUGUCACAGCCAGCUUUCCUGGAACUUGGCCAAUAUCUUAGUUUUCUUAGGACCUCCCAAAAGAGAACAUUGCCUGCAGACAGCAGGAAGUAAUUUUAAUAGAACAAUGUCUCAUUCCCAAAAAUUGAGGUGGAUGGUUUUGGGUUGUUUGUUGAGUGAUAGAUGUUUGUUGUCAUUUAAGGGGGGCUGGUCACAAGUUGUUAAUGGUCUUGGUCAGGGAGGAAACAAAGUAUAAGAGAUUAGAUUCAAGACCAGGCGCUGUGUUGCAGGCCUGUAAUCCCAGCACUCUGGAAGGCAGAGGCAGGCAGAUCUCUCUGAGUUUGAGGCCAGCCUGAUCAACAAAGUAAGUCCAGGACAGUCGAGGCUACACAGAGAAACCCUGUCUUGGGGGGAAAAAAAAAGGUUAGAUUCAGGGAUUUCUCUCUUUUUCUUUCCUCUAUCCUUUUUUCUCUCCUUUCUAAUAUUAGGGGAAGGGGUAAGAAAAGGGAAUGAAAAGAAAAAAAGGGUUAUAAGAAUGAUAGGAUAAAAGGGUAUGGGUUUUGUAUAGUGAUACAAAUUGAAGAUUAUAUUUUGUUACAACAUACUGUAUAUAUGUUUCAACUCUUGUUUAAGGUAUUGUGCCUAAGCAACUCAUUUAAAAAUGCAGUGUGUAGGGCUGGAGAGGUGACUCAGAGGUUAAGAACACUCACUGUUCUUCCAAAGGUCCUGAGUUCAAUUCUCAGUAACCACAUGGUGGCUCAUAACCAUUUAUAGUAAGAUAUGGUGUGCAG